UACGGAGGGAGCUAGCGUUGUUCGGAAUUACUGGGCGUAAAGCGCACGUAGGCGGUUACUCAAGUCAGAGGUGAAAGCCCGGGGCUCAACCCCGGAACUGCCUGUGAAACUAGGUGACUGGAAUCUUGGAGAGGCGAGUGGAAUUCCGAGUGUAGAGGUGAAAUUCGUAGAUAUUCGGAAGAACACCAGUGGCGAAGGCGACUCGCUGGACAAGUAUUGACGCUGAGGUGCGAAAGCGUGGGGAGCAAACAGG
rnacentral:rRNA from 1 species